rnacentral:rRNA from 1 species
GACGAACGCUGGCGGCGUGCCUAAUACAUGCAAGUCGAGCGAAUCGAUGGGAGCUUGCUCCCUGAGAUUAGCGGCGGACGGGUGAGUAACACGUGGGUAAUCUGCCUGUAAGACUGGGAUAACUUCGGGAAACCGGAGCUAAUACCGGAUACUUUCUUUUCUCGCAUGAGGGAAGAUGGAAAGAUGGUUCUGCUAUCACUUACAGAUGGACCCGCGGCGCAUUAGCUAGUUGGUGAGGUAACGGCUCACCAAGGCAACGAUGCGUAGCCGACCGUUGGAGGUGAUCGGGAACACGGGGACGAGGACACGGCCCGGACGCCUACGGGAGGCAGCAGUAGGGAAUCUGCCGAAAUGGACGAAAGUCUGACGGAGCAACGCCGCGUGAGCGAAGAAGGCCUUCGGGUCGUAAAGCUCUGUUGUUAGGGAAGAACAAGUACGAGAGUAACUGCUCGUACCUUGACGGUACCUAACCAGAAAGCCACGGCUAACUACGUGCCAGCCGCCGCGGUAAAAC